AUUGAACGCUGGCGGCAGGCUUAACACAUGCAAGUCGAACGAGUGGCGGACGGGUGAGUAAUGCUUGGGAAUCUGGCUUAUGGAGGGGUAUAACUACUGGACACUGUAGCUAAUACCGCGUACCAUAGGAUGAACCCAUAUGGGAUUAGGUAGUGGGUGGGGUAAAGGCUCACCAAGCCGACGAUCUCUAGCUGGUCUGAGAGGAUGACCAGCCACAAUGGGACUGAGACACGGCACAGACUACUACGGGAGGCAGCAGUGGGGAAUAUUGCGCAAUGGGGGCAAGCCUGAUGCAGCCAUGCCGCGUGUAUGAAGAAGGCCUUAGGGUUGUAAAGUACUGUCAGCGAGGAGGCGUUACUCGCAGAAGAAGCACCGGCUAACUCCGUGCCAGCAGCCGCGGUAAUAC
rnacentral:rRNA from 1 species